GCGUGAGUGAAGAAGGCCUUCGGGUUGUAAAGCUCUUUCAGGUGCGAAGAUGAUGACGGUAACACCAGAAGAAGCUCCGGCUAACUCCGUGCCAGCAGCCGCGGUAAUACGGAGGGAGCGAGCGUUGUUCGGAAUCACUGGGCGUAAAGCGUACGUAGGCGGUCCUGCAAGUCAGGAGUGAAAGCCCAGGGCUUAACCUUGGAAUUGCUCUUGAAACUGCAAGACUAGAGUCCCGGAGAGGUUGGCGGAAUUCCGAGUGUAGAGGUGAAAUUCGC
rnacentral:rRNA from 1 species